rnacentral:rRNA from 1 species
UACGAAGGGAGCUAGCGUUGUUCGGAAUCACUGGGCGUAAAGCGCACGUAGGCGGAUUUGCCAGUCAGGGGUGAAAUCCCGGGGCUCAACCUCGGAACUGCCUUUGAUACAGCAAGUCUUGAGUUCGAGAGAGGUGGGUGGAAUUCCUAGUGUAGAGGUGAAAUUCGUAGAUAUGGGGAGGAACACCGGUGGCGAAGGCGGCCACCUGGACGGCAACUGACGCUGAGACGCGAAAGCGUGGGGAGCAAACAGG